rnacentral:sRNA from 1 species
GCUGCAGCAGCCACAUACCCAACUGUCAAGAAACCUGGGCUGGCCAGGCAGGGAUGAAUCCGUGGGGAGCCUGGAGUGGAGGACGGGGUGGGGCCUGGGAACUUGCCGGCGUUGGCUCCUCUGUGCAGCCUAGCAGCUGAGGCUUUGUCAGAACAUGCUUUUACGUGUGAAAAGUGUGCAAUGCCUUCCAGAGAGGGCCUUAGCGAUGGGGAGGUUCCAGUCGGAAGGAAGCUGCGGGCCACACGAUAACAAGGACAUCCUGCUGAUGCUGAGUGACAUGGACAUCAACGCCAUCGCCGGGACGCUCAAGCUCUACUUCCGGGAACUGCCCGAGCCGCUCCUCACGGACCGACUCUACCCAGCCUUCAUGGAGGGCAUCGCCCUGUCAGACCCUGCUGCCAAGGAAAACUGCAUGAUGCACCUGCUCCGCUCCCUGCCCGACCCCAACCUCAUCACCUUCCUCUUCCUGCUGGAACACUUGGUUGCCGAGAAGGAGCCCAUCAACAAAAUGUCACUUCACAACCUGGCUACCGUGUUUGGACCCACGUUACUGAGACCCUCAGAAGUGGAGAGCAAAGCACACCUCACCUCGGCUGCGGACAUCUGGUCCCAUGACGUCAUGGCACAGGUCCAGGUCCUCCUCUACUACCUGCAGCACCCCCCCAUUUCCUUCGCAGAAC